AUUGAACGCUGGCGGCAGGCUUAACACAUGCAAGUCGAGCGAGCGGCGGACGGGUGAGUAAUGUAUGGGGAACUGCCUGAUGGAGGGGGAUAACUACUGGAAACGGUAGCUAAUACCGCAUACCAUCAGAUGUGCCCAUAUGGGAUUAGCUUGUAGGUAGGGUAAUGGCUCACCUAGGCGACGAGCCCUAGCGGGUCUGAGAGGAUGAUCAGCCACACUGGAACUGAGACAAGGUCCAGACUCCUACGGGAGGCAGCAGUGGGGAAUAUUGCACAAUGGGCGCAAGCCUGAUGCAGCCAUGCCGCGUGUAUGAAGAAGGCCUUCGGGUUGUAAAGCACUUUCAGCGGGGAGGCGUUACCCACAGAAGAAGCACCGGCUAACUCCGUGCCAGCAGCCGCGGUAAUAC
rnacentral:rRNA from 1 species